rnacentral:tRNA from 1 species
GGUGGCUCAGUGGUAGAGUGCUUGCCUUGCAUGCAUGAGACCCUGGGUUCGAUUCGUCAGCACCA